rnacentral:misc_RNA from 1 species
UCAAACUUGGUCAUUUAGAGGAAGUAAAAGUCGUAACAAGGUUUCCGUAGGUGAACCUGCGGAAGGAUCAUUACUGAAUAAAAGGUUUGGUUCGAGGUUGUCGCUGGCAUCCUAGGAUGCAUUUGCACGCCCUUGCCAUUCCAUCAUAUUCACCUUUUUCCACCUGUGCAUUCUCUAUGUAGGCCAGAUGGCUGCAAGUAGCGACCUCUUGGGGGAGGUGCUUCUUUGGACUUGCUGUUGCAGCUUUUUAGAUUUGCGACAGCUCCUCCUGAAGUUGGCACAUCUGGUCUAUGCAUUUUAUCAAAAAAACCCCCCCCCCUCUCGUAUUUUAUGUUUCUGAUAUUGCUUUGGCUUAUCAAAGCAUGUAUGCACAACUUUCAACAACGGAUCUCUUGGCUCUCGCAUCGAUGAAGAACGCAGC